rnacentral:rRNA from 1 species
AUUGAACGCUGGCGGCAUGCUUUACACAUGCAAGUCGGACGAGUGGCGAACGGGUGAGUAAUGUAUUGGCAAGUAGCGAGUAAGGGGGGAUCAACAAGCGAAAGAUUGGCUAAUACCGCAAAUUCUUCGAGCGGCCAAUAUCUGAUUAGCUGGUUGGUGGGGUAAAGGCCUACCAAGGCGACGAUCAGUAGCGGGUCUGAGAGGAGGUACGGCCACACUGGGACUGAGACACGGCCCAGACUCCUACGGGAGGCAGCAGUGGGGAAUUUUGGACAAUGGGCGCAAGCCUGAUCCAGCCAUGCCGCGUGUGUGAAGAAGGCCUUCGGGUUGUAAAGGACUUUUGUUAGGGAAGCGGUACCUAACGAAUAAGCACCGGCUAACUACGUGCCAGCAGCCGCGGUAAUAC